rnacentral:rRNA from 1 species
AUUGAACGCUGGCGGCAGGCCUAACACAUGCAAGUCGAACGAGUGGCGGACGGGUGAGUAAUGUCUGGGAACCUGCCUGAUGGAGGGGUAUAACUACUGGAAACGGUAGCUAAUACCGCAUACCAUCAGAUGUGCCCAGAUGGGAUUGGCUUGUUGGUGGGGUGACGGCUGACAAAGGCGACGAUCCCUAGCUGGUCUGAGAGGAUGACAAGCCCCACGGGAAAAGAAAGUCGGUCCAGACAACUACAGGAGCGAGGACUGGGGAAUAGUGCAUAAUGGUCGCAAGCCUGAUUAAGUCAUGCCGAGUGUAUGACGAAGGCCUUCGGGUUGUAACGUACUUUCAGCGGUGAGGCUUUACCCGCAUAAGCAGCACCGGCUAACUCCGGGCCAGCAGCCGCGGUAAUUC